AAAAUCAAAGUGUCAUAUGGUGAAGCGAGCAGAACCUAUUUUUCCAGGUAUUCUGUUACAGAUUCAUAAAGUUUUAGAUUUUUCAAAGGCUGAUAGUUAUGUUUACUGGUGUCUUUUCCUUUACGCCUUUUUUCUUUUGGCCAGAAAAUCAAACUUAGUACCCACUUCCAGACAUGAUUUAAUAAAUCCAAAAUCUUUACUCAGUAGGGAUGUUAUGCAAUCCGAGUUAGGACUGUUAGUAACCAUAAAGUGGUCCAAGACCAUUCAGCAAGGGGAAAGAGUGCUUCAGUUCCCUCUGGCACCUAUUCCUCAUUCACCAUUGUGUCCAGUUACAGCCUAUAAUAACAUGAUUUCCUUGAUUCCCAGGUCUCAUGCCUCGCCACUGUUUGUUUUGAAAUCUGGCAAAUUGGUUUCAUACCGUAUGUUCUUGAAACAGUUACGUUUUGUAAUUUCACAGAUAGGCCUGGAUCCUUACAAGUACUCGACUCAUAGUUUUCGUCGUGGUUUUACAACAUUAGCCUUUCGUUUAAAUUUACCAGCUGACAUUAUUCAAAAUUUGGGGGACUGGAAAUCUUAUUGUUACAAAAAGUACCUAGAAUUUACUUUGUCAGACAAGGUUAGAGUGUCUAAGUUUAUAUCUAGCAACUUACAGAGAGGCAUUUUUGAAGCAGAUGGGUUUUCAAAAUGUUGAGUCUUAUUUUCAUGAUACGAGUGUUUGUCUUCGACCUUAAGAAGGGGAGACGACCCUACUUACAGUGGCAGUUUUGACAUCACUGGGUAGGAUCACGUGGUUCUGUGUAUCAUGUUUUAAGACUUUUCAGAUUGUAUACUCAUUUGCGUUAUGUUUAUUGUCUAAGUAUAGAUUAGAUUAUGAAAGUGUAUAUAUAGUUUUAAAUUAUUUCCUAUGAUAGUCAGAAUAGUUACUUAGGCAUGUCCAGUGUACACUUGACAGUAAACUGAGAAGCAAACUCAGUUCGAAAGUAAAGACAGUUUUAAUUAUUUGUUUUACUCAUAUUGUCUUUAUAAUUAUUUAAUUUAAUGUGAUGAUUAAUUAUGCAUGUUUUUAAUACUUGUUUUUUCUUUGCAGACUGUCACAAAAUCCGUAAAGUUCUCAUUGUUGGGGAUUCCAUAGUGAAGCAUUUACCACAUAUUGAAGGUGUUACUAAUUUGUCUUUUAGGGGGGCAACUAUAGGGAUUCUAUGAAGUUAAACAGUUUGUUCAAGAGAAUUUACUAUAUAAGAGGUAGGCUAUCAUGUUGAACUGUUACUAUUUGUUUUUACUGCAUUGUGUUCCAUUACAGCUUAUUUGCAUUUGUAUUUACUAAGGAUACAUGAGAUUCUAAAACUAUGUAUAUAAAAUUUUUGGAAACUAUUUGAAGAUCUUUUUAUAGAGACAGAUUUGUGUCUCCAGGCAUAACUUUAUCAUUUCAGUUACGCAAGCUACAUUCAUCAUUCAUUACUAUUUAUGAAUUUCAUGUAAUCUUAUAUUAAUAUUAACCACCUUUUGGCUUAUGACAAGCAUCCCUUAUGUUUUGAUAGGAUUGCUUGCCUUACCAAAUUUGCCUUGACUUUGUUUGCGUUGUCUUGCUUGCUUACCUUAUAAUUUUGCCUUUAUUGCCUUGUUUAUUUGUGUCGUUUGCUUUAUGUUUAUUUGCCUAUGUUUUGCUUGUUUUGGCUGUAAUUUGGCGGUUUUCAGUAUAUAUUUAUAUAAUUGAUAAUUAAAUUGAUACACGUGUGAUUAUAUUUGGCAUUAAAAUUCAUAUUUAUUA